UACGUAGGGAGCAAGCGUUGUUCGGAUUUACUGGGCGUAAAGGGCGCGUAGGCGGCAAAUUAAGUCAGACGUGAAAUCCCUCGGCUUAACCGGGGAACUGCGUCUGAUACUGGAUGGCUCGAGUUUGGGAGAGGGAUGCGGAAUUCCAGGUGUAGCGGUGAAAUGCGUAGAUAUCAGGAGGAACACCGGUGGCGAAAGCGGCGCACUGGACCACAACUGACACUGGAGGCGCGAA
rnacentral:rRNA from 1 species